rnacentral:rRNA from 1 species
GAGGAAAAGAAACCAACAGGGAUUGCCCCCAGUAACGGCGAGUGAAGCGGCAACAGCUCAAAUUUGAAAUCUGGCUCUCGGGCCCGAGUUGUAAUUUGUAGAGGAUGCUUUUGGUGAGGUGCCUUCCGAGUUCCCUGGAACGGGACGCCAUAGAGGGUGAGAGCCCCGUCUGGUUGGACACCGAUCCUCUGUAAAGCUCCUUCGACGAGUCGAGUAGUUUGGGAAUGCUGCUCUAAAUGGGAGGUAUAUGUCUUCUAAAGCUAAAUACCGGCCAGAGACCGAUAGCGCACAAGUAGAGUGAUCGAAAGAUGAAAAGAACUUUGAAAAGAGAGUUAAAAAGUACGUGAAAUUGUUGAAAGGGAAGCGCUUGUGACCAGACUUGGGCUUGGUUGAUCAUCCGGGGUUCUCCCCGGUGCACUCUUCCGGCUCAGGCCAGCAUCAGUUCGCCCUGGGGGAUAAAGGCUUCGGGAAUGUGGCUCUCUCCGGGGAGUGUUAUAGCCCGCUGCGUAAUACCCUGUGGCGGACUGAGGUUCGCGCAUUCGCAAGGAUGCUGGCGUAAUGGUCAUCAGUGACCCGUCUUGAAACACGGACCAAGGAGUCGUCUUCGUAUGCGAGUGUUCGGGUGUCAAACCCCUACGCGAAAUGAAAGUGAACGCAGGUGAGAGCUUCGGCGCAUCAUCGACCGAUCCUGAUGUUAUCGGAUGGAUUUGAGUAAGAGCAUACGGGGCCGGACCCGAAAGAAGGUGAACUAUGCCUGUGUAGGGUGAAGCCAGAGGAAACUCUGGUGGAGGCUCGCAGCGGUUGCUGACGUGCAAAUCGAUCGUCAAACAUGGGCAU